rnacentral:rRNA from 1 species
AUUAGAGUUUGAUCCUGGCUCAGGAUGAACGCUGGCGGCGUGCCUAAUGCGUGCAAGUCGAACGGUUUGAUUUAUCAGAUAGUGGCGAACGGCUGAGUAAUGCACAGGUGACCUGCCCUUAAGUGGGGGAUAACACCGAGAAAUCGGUGCUAAUACCGCAUGUGGCUCCAGCAAUGCGUUGCUGGAAUUAAAGCCUUCGGGCGCUUGAGGAGGGGCUUGUGUCCUAUCAGGUUGUUGGUAGGGUAACGGCCUACCAAGCCUUAGACGGGUAGCUGGUCUGAGAGGAUGGUCAGCCAGACAGGGAAUGAGAGACGGCCCUGACUCCUACGGGAGGCAGCAGCAAGGGAUAUUGCGCAAUGGGCGAAAGCCUGACGCAGCGACGCCGCGUGGGGGAAGAAGGCUUUCGGGUUGUAAACCCCUUUUCUUGGUGAAGAGUAAGGACGGUAGCCAAGGAAUAAGUCUCGGCUAACUACGUGCCAGCAGCCGCGGUAAUACGUAGGAGGCAAGCGUUAUCCGGAAUCACUGGGCGUAAAGGGCGUGUAGGCGGCCCGUUAAGUUGGCUGUGAAAUCUCCCGGCUCAACCGGGAGCCGUCAGCCAAUACUGCCGGGCUAGAGGGCAGCAGAGGAAAGUGGAAUUCCCGGUGUAGCGGUGGAAUGCGUAGAUAUCGGGAGGAACACCAGUGGCGAGGGCGGCUUUCUGGGCUGCCCCUGACGCUGAGGCGCGAAGGCGUGGGGAGCAAAGUGGAUUAGAUACCCACGUAGUCCACGCAAUAAACGGUGGAUACUAGGUAUAGGGGGUAUCGACCCCCUCUGUGCCGAAGCUAACGCUUUAAGUAUCCCGCCUGGGGACUACGGCCGCAAGGUUAAAACUCAAAGGAAUUGACGGGGGCCCGCACAAGCAGCGAAGCGUGUGGUUUAAUUCGAUGCAACACGAAGAACCUUACCAAGGCUUGACAUGCCGGUGGUAGAAACCCGAAAGGGCAACGACCCGGAUUUAUCCGGGAGCCAGCACAGGUGCUACAUGGCUGUCGUCAGCUCGUGCCGUGAGGUGUUGGGUUAAGUCCCAUAACGAGCGCAACCCUCGUCCUGUGUUACACUCUCACAGGAGACUGCCUCGCAAGACGGGGAGGAAGGUGGGGAUGACGUCAAGUCAGCACGGCCCUUAUGCCUUGGGCAACACACACGCUACAAUGGAUGGUACAGAGGGUAGCCAAAGAGUGAUCUGGAGCCAAUCUCACAAAGCCAUCCUAAGUUCGGAUUGCAGGCUGAAACUCGCCUGCAUGAAGUUGGAGUUGCUAGUAACCGCAGGUCAGCAUACUGCGGUGAAUACGUUCUCGGGCCUUGUACACACCGCCCGUCGCGUCAUGAAAGCCGGUAACACCUGAAGUCGAUGCGCCAACCCGCAAGGGAAGCAGUCGCCGAAGGUGGGAUUGGUGAUUGGGACGAAGUCGUAACAAGGUAACCAAU